UACGGAGGAUGCAAGCGUUAUCCGGAAUGAUUGGGCGUAAAGCGCACGCAGGUGGCUGAGUCAGUCGAUUGUGAAAGCCCUGGGCUUAACCUGGGAAUUGCAGUCGAUACUACUCAGCUAGAGUAUGGGAGAGGGCAGUGGAAUUCCCGGUGUAGCGGUGAAAUGCGUAGAUAUCGGGAGGAACAUCAGUGGCGAAGGCGGCUGCCUGGCCCAAUACUGACACUCAGGUGCGACAGCGUGGGGAGCAAACAGG
rnacentral:rRNA from 1 species